rnacentral:rRNA from 1 species
CUACGGAGGGUGCAAGCGUUACUCGGAAUCACUGGGCGUAAAGCGCGCGCAGGCGGUCUUUUAAGUUGGAUGUGAAAGCCUACGGCUCAACCGUAGAACUGCAUCCAAAACUAUUAGACUAGAGUGUGGGAGAGGAAGGUGGAAUUAGUUGUGUAGGGGUAAAAUCCGUAGAGAUAACUAGGAAUACCAAAAGCGAAGGCAAUCUUCUGGAACACUACUGACGCUGAGGCGCGAAAGCGUGGGGAGCAAACAGGAUUAGAAACCCCAGUAGUCC